rnacentral:rRNA from 1 species
CGGGGUGCAGCAGGCGCGAAAACUUUACAAUGCUGGCAACAGCGAUAAGGGGACCUUGAGUGCCAGGAUACAAUCCUGGCUGUCGUGAUGCCUAAAAAGCAUUAUAUAGCAAGGGCCGGGCAAGACCGGUGCCAGCCGCCGCGGUAACACCGGCGGCUCGAGUGGUAACCGCUAUUAUUGGGUCUAAAGGGUCUGUAGCCGGCUUGGUUAGUCUUUUGGGAAAUCCGGCAGCUUAACUGUCGGGCUUUCAGGAGAUACUGCCAGGCUCGAGACCGGGAGAGGUGAGAGGUACUUCAUGGGUAGGGGUGAAAUCUUGUAAUCCUUGAAGGACCACCAGUGGCGAAGGCGUCUCACCAGAACGGAUUUGACGGCAAGGGACGAAAGCUAGGGGCACGAACCGGAUUAGAUACCCGGGUAGUCCUAGCCGUAAACGAUACUCGCUAGGUGUCGGCCACGGUGCGACCGUGGUCGGUGCCGUAGGGAAGCCGUGAAGCGAGCCACCUGGGAAGUACGGCCGCAAGGCUGAAACUUAAAGGAAUUGGCGGGGGAGCACAAGGGCGAAUCGCGGC